GGCAAGGUGGCUGAAAUUAGGUGGUAAAUUGUAAAUUUACUUAUAGUCAUUAAAUAGGACUUCUUGUCA
rnacentral:tRNA from 1 species